rnacentral:lncRNA from 10 species
CCUUAGCAAAUAUUGUCACUGGUGGUGAGGCUCCAGGCAGGGUGAGCCCUCCUCCCAGCUCACCUGGGCCGGCUCUCUGCCCAGCAACCUCCCAGCAGUCAGGGCUCCUAGCAGCUGCCCCCUGCCCUGCCCACUGGGGCCCAGGAAAAGCAGAGAGUUGCUGAAGGUCUCCCGGCAGUAGCGGCUGUCACUGCUACGGGGGGUGAUCUAGGAGUGAACGCCACGAGGCAGGUGGGGAAGGCUGCUCUGAACGUGUCUGUGACUACAGCUCCGUGAGAAAGUUGGGACCCAGAAGCUUCCGCCCCGAAGCGGCCCCCACCUGAGCCGUCACCAUCCUCCCGCAUUAAUGGGGGCAUUCGUGCAGACAAAGACAGCCCCCAGAGUCAGGCCUGGAUUUUAAUCCCACCAUCUCGCCCACUGAGUGACUGCAGGAGACCAGAAGGCGGGGAAAACACGGUUUAGCACUCACUGCUAGCUGGCAGUUCACACUGCCUUCUCAAAUGAUCCCCAUAAUUGCUAUUUUACAGAUGGGGAAACUGAGGCAUGGGGUUCAUUUGAUUCACGCAUGGUCACUCACCUAAUAAGUGGCAAGCUAGGACUGGAAUCCAUCCCUCCUGAAUCCAAAGCCAACACUCUGGCCCCUUUCCCCCUUGGCCCCCUCUCCCCUGCAUUCCCAGUGCCUGUGUGGGGGUCACCCACAACGCUCCCCAAAUGUCCACUGUGCACCGAGCCCUGAGGCGGUGUCUCCACCUGACCUGAUCUUCUGGCACAGAAAGCCACUGGCCCAUGAAGAGUUAACCAGUCACCAUCUCCUGGCCCCAGAUGCUGCUCUUAACCAUGACUCAUCAGAGCAUGUGGCUGCCAUUAGAGCUGUCCCUUCACAAAGGAGGGGACAGAAGUAAGGAAGGACUGUAGCUCCCCUGGAGCAACUAUGACCUCCAGGACGUCAGAAGAGGAAGCAGAAGGGGACAGCCUGCAGAAGCAACCACGGUGGGAACAGGACUUGUACCAGAUCCCAGGGGAGCCAGGCAGUUUGGGCUUGGUGGUAGCUGCUUAAAAUCUAAGCAGGCUGCCUGGAAAGGCAGUGAAGUCCCAUCCUGCCCAUUUGUGAGCAGGGGCAGAUGCUCACUUGCAAGAAUCAUCCCAUCUCUAGGAGUCUCAUAUACAGGCACGAAAAAGAUAAUUAACUACUAGAAGUAAGCUAUGAUGACAUCCACCAGCAACUAUAAAGAAUCCAGACAAGGGGAGAGACUGGGGAGCUUCCUGGAAGAGGUGGUGACAGAACUGAGCCUUGAAGUUUAUAUUAUUUAAACAAACUGAAGUCAUGGAGAGGGUGUACCAGAUCGGGGAGCAGCAUGGAUGAAGGCAUGGAAGUGGGAAAGGAACCUGGUUGCCAAGAGCAGGACC